rnacentral:rRNA from 2 species
CUUAAAUUGAAGAGUUUGAUCAUGGCUCAGAUUGAACGCUGGCGGCAGGCCUAACACAUGCAAGUCGAGCGGUAGCACAGAAGAGCUUGCUCUUUGGGUGACGAGCGGCGGACGGGUGAGUAAUGUCUGGGAAACUGCCUGAUGGAGGGGGAUAACUACUGGAAACGGUAGCUAAUACCGCAUAACCUCGCAAGAGCAAAGAGGGGGACCUUCGGGCCUCUCGCCAUCAGAUGUGCCCAGAUGGGAUUAGCUAGUAGGUGAGGUAAUGGCUCACCUAGGCGACGAUCCCUAGCUGGUCUGAGAGGAUGACCAGCCACACUGGAACUGAGACACGGUCCAGACUCCUACGGGAGGCAGCAGUGGGGAAUAUUGCACAAUGGGCGCAAGCCUGAUGCAGCCAUGCCGCGUGUGUGAAGAAGGCCUUCGGGUUGUAAAGCACUUUCAGCGGGGAGGAAGGCGGUAAGGUUAAUAACCUUAUCGAUUGACGUUACCCGCAGAAGAAGCACCGGCUAACUCCGUGCCAGCAGCCGCGGUAAUACGGAGGGUGCAAGCGUUAAUCGGAAUGACUGGGCGUAAAGCGCACGCAGGCGGUCUGUUAAGUUGGAUGUGAAAUCCCCGGGCUUAACCUGGGAACUGCAUUCAAAACUGACAGGCUAGAGUCUUGUAGAGGGGGGUAGAAUUCCAGGUGUAGCGGUGAAAUGCGUAGAGAUCUGGAGGAAUACCGGUGGCGAAGGCGGCCCCCUGGACAAAGACUGACGCUCAGGUGCGAAAGCGUGGGGAGCAAACAGGAUUAGAUACCCUGGUAGUCCACGCUGUAAACGAUGUCGAUUUGGAGGUUGUGCCCUUGAGGCGUGGCUUCCGGAGCUAACGCGUUAAAUCGACCGCCUGGGGAGUACGGCCGCAAGGUUAAAACUCAAAUGAAUUGACGGGGGCCCGCACAAGCGGUGGAGCAUGUGGUUUAAUUCGAUGCAACGCGAAGAACCUUACCUACUCUUGACAUCCAGAGAACUUAGCAGAGAUGCUUUGGUGCCUUCGGGAACUCUGAGACAGGUGCUGCAUGGCUGUCGUCAGCUCGUGUUGUGAAAUGUUGGGUUAAGUCCCGCAACGAGCGCAACCCUUAUCCUUUGUUGCCAGCGAUUCGGUCGGGAACUCAAAGGAGACUGCCGGUGAUAAACCGGAGGAAGGUGGGGAUGACGUCAAGUCAUCAUGGCCCUUACGAGUAGGGCUACACACGUGCUACAAUGGCGUAUACAAAGAGAAGCGACCUCGCGAGAGCAAGCGGACCUCAUAAAGUACGUCGUAGUCCGGAUUGGAGUCUGCAACUCGACUCCAUGAAGUCGGAAUCGCUAGUAAUCGUAGAUCAGAAUGCUACGGUGAAUACGUUCCCGGGCCUUGUACACACCGCCCGUCACACCAUGGGAGUGGGUUGCAAAAGAAGUAGGUAGCUUAACCUUCGGGAGGGCGCUUACCACUUUGUGAUUCAUGACUGGGGUGAAGUCGUAACAAGGUAACCGUAGGGGAACCUGCGGUUGGAUCACCUCCUUACCAAGAAG